GACGAACGCUGGCGGCGUGCUUAACACAUGCAAGUUGAACGGAGGCUUUGUUUUCGGACGAAGCCUUAGUAGCGGACGGGUGAGUAACGCGUGAGCAACCUACCUUUGUGAGGGGGACAACAGCUGGAAACGGCUGCUAAUACCGCAUGAGACCACGACCCCGCGUGGGGACGAGGUAAAAGAGGAAACUCGCACAGAGAUGGGCUCGCGUCCCAUUAGCUAGUUGGUGAGGUAACGGCUCACCAAGGCGACGAUGGGUAGCCGACCUGAGAGGGUGAUCGGCCACACUGGAACUGAGACACGGUCCAGACUCCUACGGGAGGCAGCAGUGGGGAAUAUUGGGCAAUGGGCGAAAGCCUGACCCAGCAACGCCGCGUGAGGGAAGAAGGUCUUCGGAUUGUAAAACCUCUGUCCUUGGGGACGAAGGACGUGACGGUACCCAAGGAGGAAGCUCCGGCUAACUACGUG
rnacentral:rRNA from 1 species